rnacentral:misc_RNA from 1 species
AUUUCUGCAGCAGGCUGCAUGUGAUCAAGAACAAUAUGCUGAAGUUCUUUUCCAGCACCACAAACAACCUUUGACACACGCUUCACACCCACUUCACCAAGAGUAUUAACCAGAAAUUGGUGUACUGCCGGACUAGUCCGAGCACCACCCAAAACGCUUAGAAACUCCUCUUGGGGACUUGAGUCCAGGGCAUGGUCAAUAAUCAAAGUAGAUAGGGAAUCAAACUUUUCAUGAAACAUGCGCAUGGCAUCUGACCACUGCUUCAUCAUAACUGAUAAUGAUGCCCGGAUAACCUCAGUUAACUCCUCAAUGUUAGAAGCUUG